GAUGGUCAGCCUGGGGUUCUUGGGUAGCUUGUACAGUAACAUGUGGAAAUGGCCAACAGAGAAGGAGACGUUUUUGUAACAAUCCUAUACCAGCAAAUGGUGGUGUUAGUUGUCAAGGAGAGGAAUACAAUAAUAACUCGUGUGCCCUUUCUACAUGUGCAGAACCUGAACAAGAACCAGUAGGAAGUAUACCAAUAGCAGUUGGAACAGUCAGUGGUGUCUUAGUCAUUAUAAUAGUAAUAAUACUUGUUGUCAUAUAUGCGAAAAGGAGAUGGUACAACUCCGAACAGGAGCUGAAUUAUGAAAAAACAGAUAUCACGAGAGGUAAAUCUCACAUUUACGGAGAGACACAUAUCAAUCAUAUAUACCAAAAUGAUCUACAGGCCGCUGAAAUAGAGGUUACUGCUGCGGAAAAUACGUAUAUUGAUGAAGCUAGCUUGGUUAAAAAGUGUGUAGUGUCAGAUCUGACACGGCGAUUUCGGAAUAAAGAGUUGUUUGGAAGAAGUCUUCGAGCAGAAUUUAAGCUAUUGAAAAAUCAAGCAAGUAAUACCAAGCCAUGUAAUAAUGAGUACGAAUUCGUCGACACAGGAAUAAGAAAGGGU